CCUACGGGAGGCAGCAGUGGGGGAUAUUGCACAAUGGGGGGAACCCUGAUGCAGCGACGCCGCGUGGGUGAAGAAGCGCCUCGGCGCGUAAAGCCCUGUCAGCAGGGAAGAAAAUGACGGUACCUGAAGAAGAAGCCACGGCUAACUACGUGCCAGCAGCCGCGGUAAUACGUAGGUGGCAAGCGUCGUCCGGAAUUACUGGGUGUAAAGGGAGCGUAGGCGGGAAAGCAAGUUGAAUGUUUAAGGUACGGGCUCAACCUGUACAAGCGUUCAAAACUGUUUUUCUUGAGUGGA
rnacentral:rRNA from 1 species